GAAAAUUGAGUGAAAUAUUAAAGGCACCUUCCUCCCAGGUAGUUCACCUCUCUCUCCCCCCUUUUUGACCUAAAAUGAACAAAGGAAAAGUUAAAUUGGUGGCAUAACUGUUUGGAAGUUCACUAAAGGUGAACUGUUUGGAAGUGCUUUUGACCAAUUAUAUGACGUUGAAGUUCAAUCAUGUCUUUUUCCUCUUCCUGUUCUUAUAAAAAUAAGAUUUCUCUGAUAUCUAAUGUCAUCUAUGAAUCUUUCAGAUAUUCUUUGGCAUCCAUCUGAUCUCUCAGUCCGACCUAUAAUGCCUAGCAGAAAAUCAAAUAAAGGUUCAAAUGCAAUUCCUUCACUUUCAAUUGAUGCACCUCAACUGUCCGAUUUUUUCAAAAUGUCAAAGAAGCAAUUAGACUCUUUUAAUAGUAGAAUCAUCAGUAUUGUUAGUGGGAAUACUCCCUCAGGGGAGAAGCAAAAUGUGAUCAGAUACCUUGAGCUUUUGAGUACCAAUGCUGAUGCAGCCAACAUCUUGACCGAUGGGUCUAUUGUGUUGGUUCUAGUCAAAAUGCUUCGUCACUCCAAGGUUUCUCUGUUGCGUGCUCAACAUGCUUCACUUAUUGGCUUGUUGAUUCGUAACUGUACUUUUAUUGGGGAUGAGCUGGCAAUUCUAGAAUAUUAGGUGCAAUAACUGAUUGUCUGAGAGACAGGCAAGAGAAUUUGAGAAGGUUUUCCAUGGUUUCUUUGUGCGAAUUACUAUUUUAUAUAUCUACUCAAAAUGAGCAUGCUCGGGAUAAUAAACCCCCAACCUGUUUUCUCAAAAUCUAUUUCUUUCAGUUUCCUUUAUGCAUGUACUUAUUCUUCUAUUGGCUACCUUUGCUGCAGGUCAGAAUUCUUCGUUCUCUAGGUCAUGCAAAUGUAUUGAAGUUCUACUCCUGGUGAUAUUUGCAUGUAACUCCUUUCUUUUUCUUCAAUUUCGUUUCUAUGGUAAAGGUCCUUUUGGUGUUUAAUAAGAAGAUUUCUCUGACUUAUUUUCUAAUUCAACCGAUCCAUAAGUAUGGAACAUCUGCACACCUG
rnacentral:lncRNA from 1 species